GUCCACGCCCUAAACGAUGUCAACUAGCUGUUGGGCCUUCGGGCCUUAGUAGCGCAGCUAACGCGUGAAGUUGACCGCCUGGGGAGUACGGUCGCAAGAUUAAACUCAAAGGAAUUGACGGGACCCGCACAAGCGGUGGAUGAUGUGGAUUAAUUCGAUGCAACGCGAAAACCUUACCUACCCUUGACAUGUCUGGAAUCCCGAAGAGAUUUGGGAGUGCUCGCAAGAGAACCGGAACACAGGUGCUGCAUGGCUGUCGU
rnacentral:rRNA from 1 species